rnacentral:rRNA from 1 species
AGGAUGAGCCCAGCGCAGAACCUCCCGGGCCACCCGGCCUGCGGCGGAAUGUUGCGUUAAGGGAAAGGUCAUAUUCAUACCCAUCAGUCACGCGAGCGCUAAGUCAGCUACGAAUUGGCUAUCCCGACUAACGGAGGGACUGACUCCACGGAGGGUGUAAGACCCGUGUGGGCGCGUGUAAAAGCUGAUUGGGGUUGGCCUCUUUUCCCUGAGAGUCGCGUUGCUCUGGCAUGCAGCGCUAAGCAGGUCGUAAACUCGAUCUAAGGCUAAAUAUUUCCACAGGCCCGAUAGCGAACAAGUACCGUGAGGGAAAGUUGAAAAGCACUCUGAAGAGAGAGUCAAAAGACCGUGAAACCGCUCAGAGUAUAAGCCCAUGGAGCUCGGAAGGCAUACCGCAGUCCUAUAACAAGGUCGGCUUGCAUGAAUGGUCCGUCAGGCAGUGGCAUUGAGUUGAUAUCACGCUGACGUGCGGGGGAGGACACUGGUCGCGUAGACGGGCUUCGGCCCGUUUUGCACGGCCAGCUACUCCCUUGAGCACGGACGUUCAAGGGUGCUUGUCGUAUGCGGAAACGCCCACCACGUCUCGUUGCGUGGUCACCCACAGGCUCGACUGUCGAUCGCGUGUUCACCUCGUUCGCAAAGAUGUGUCGACGGCUGUUCAGGCCCCACUCUAGGGGUCGGGACACGACACUUGCGUUCGAGGCUACUUGACUUGAACCGGACGGCGACUGAGAUAAACCUGGUAUGAUCCACUAGCGACGAGACGCUUUCUGGCCAGUUGUUGCGUGCAGGCUUCUGCUCACUUGCCGAGCGUUGCCUUACACCAGGCGGACUGUAAUCUCUGCGAAAGCCGAAAGGUCAGUAUGCAAGUUCUCUUUGCCGCACGCAACACUGAGUG